rnacentral:rRNA from 1 species
UACACUCCUGCGGGAGGCAGCAGUGGGGAAUUUUGGACAAUGGGCGAAAGCCUGAUCCAGCCAUGCCGCGUGCAGGAUGAAGGCCUUCGGGUUGUAAACUGCUUUUGUACGGAACGAAACGGCCUUUUCUAAUAAAGAGGGCUAAUGACGGUACCGUAAGAAUAAGCACCGGCUAACUACGUGCCAGCAGCCGCGGUAAUACGUAGGGUGCAAGCGUUAAUCGGAAUUACUGGGCGUAAAGCGUGCGCAGGCGGUUAUGUAAGACAGUUGUGAAAUCCCCGGGCUCAACCUGGGAACUGCAUCUGUGACUGCAUAGCUAGAGUACGGUAGAGGGGGAUGGAAUUCCGCGUGUAGCAGUGAAAUGCGUAGAUAUGCGGAGGAACACCGAUGGCGAAGGCAAUCCCCUGGACCUGUACUGACGCUCAUGCACGAAAGCGUGGGGAGCAAACAGGAUUAGAUACCCCUGAAGUCCC